UUAAUGGAGAGUUUGAUCCUGGCUCAGGACGAACGCUGGCGGCGUGCCUAAUACAUGCAAGUCGAGCGGGGUUAGUUAGAAGCUUGCUUCUAACUAACCUAGCGGCGGACGGGUGAGUAACACGUAGGCAACCUGCCCACAAGACAGGGAUAACUACCGGAAACGGUAGCUAAUACCCGAUACAUCCUUUUCCUGCAUGGGAGAAGGAGGAAAGGCGGAGCAAUCUGUCACUUGUGGAUGGGCCUGCGGCGCAUUAGCUAGUUGGUGGGGUAAAGGCCUACCAAGGCGACGAUGCGUAGCCGACCUGAGAGGGUGAUCGGCCACACUGGGACUGAGACACGGCCCAGACUCCUACGGGAGGCAGCAGUAGGGAAUCUUCCGCAAUGGGCGAAAGCCUGACGGAGCAACGCCGCGUGAGUGAUGAAGGUUUUCGGAUCGUAAAGCUCUGUUGCCAGGGAAGAACG
rnacentral:rRNA from 1 species